CUAGGGGGGUCCCUUGCCUCUCCUUAUAUAGUCCGGAGGGUAGGGUUACAGAUCUGGAAACUAAUCCUAGUCGGUUACAAUUGCCAUAGAUAGUUCGAUAUCAAUUCCUAUUCUAACCGACUAGAAUCCUGCUUGAUCUCCACGCCUUGUUUCCUUGCACGAAACUCUAAGCUGUCGGAUCAAACCUUGAGCUUGUCUCGUAAUGGGCCAAACCUCCUGGCCCAAGUCUAGCCGUAAGGGUAUAGGGUUCUAUACCCCCACAACUUCUGUGCGGUCACUACGUGGUGUCGUGGAAGAGCUUAAAGGCGAACUAGCUAACAUCCGCCUGAAAUAUAUAGAGCUUAAGGACGACUUAGCCGCUGUACAAUUCGGUCUAACCAACCGGCUUGGCAAGGUGGCUCGGGCUGUGGGUGUAGAGCAUGUUCUAGACACAAAUCGCAUCUAGUUUAAUUUUGCUUAGCCGACUAAUUUAUUUUCCCUUUUAUUCAGAUUUCCUUCAUUUACUUUGUAAUCAAUGUCUCGGCUUAUAUUGAAUAAUAAAGAAGUCCUUUGUUCGAAUUAUUUUGUCUCCACUUGUUUUUGUAUUAUUUUUGUCUACUUGAGAAAAAUCAAAGAACAGGUAAAAAAACAAGUGUGGGGGAGGAAUCGCCAUUAAGGUAAUCUUACAUAAAAAAAAUUUUCAGAAUUAUUUUUAUUCCUCCUAUGACAAUUUAAAUCUGAUUUAUAUGAUAAAAAUAUUGCUAAUAAAAUAAAAAGAUAAAAAAAUAAAUGAAUACUCCAUUUCCUUUGAAAUUAAACAUGCAUACUCUUUAUUCCUCGCCAAAAGCCUACCAUUUAUGAGCAACUUUUUAUAAGGAUCCCAUUGCUUCUAAGUAAUUGAGAUUUGCGAUAUAGUAGGAUGAUUUGAAACUUGCUCACUUAUGCAAUUAACUUGGGGAUUUAUUUGAUAAAAUUAAAAUUGCAAAAAGUCUGCUCUUCAAUGAUAGAUAAUUACCUACCAAGGCCAAAUAUAUUACUCUUGAUAAAAAUUCUACAAAUAGCUGCUUAUUUGUUUUGAGUUGUGUCAAGUCUUGUUGACCCUUGUUAAGAGAUUUAUCAUGCUCUCAAGAUCAAGAUCACGUACACUCCAGAUACAUAUAUAUGCCGCUUCUACACUAGGAGUGCGCAAAAACAUGCCUUACAUGUCCACCAUACAAACACUCCAUGUUUUAAAGAAUGAUCUCACUAGGGCAUCUUAGAUAAAGACAUGGGCUAUGCAAAAAUAUAUAUAUAUAAAAAAGAGAAGAAAAAAAAAUGGGCAAGUGCCCGCCGUAGAAUUAGGGGUAUAAAAAUACCCACCUGAAAAAAAUAUAGGACACAUGAAGGUCCUAAGUAUACAAAAAAAAGAUGAGCACAUGAAGGCUCACAAAAAAAUAAAAGAGUUAUGAUAGCCAUGUCUAGAAAUACUUGAUGAGAUCAUAUCAACCAACGGAGUUGUUUAUACCAUAUACCACACACUUGCACAUCUUGAUCUAAGGGUAUGACACUUCUCUUCUUGGAUCCGAGAUUUGACUCGACAAUACAUAUAAGGUAAGUAUGCAUUCUACUUGGUCCAUACCCAAAACUCUAAAUACAGCUUAUAGAGGUAGGACGAAUCAAGAGGUACUUUUACCUUGGUAAGGAACCAGAAACAUUCUCGAGUGAUUUGAGAGUAUCAUCUGAAGAGCAAGACUAUUUUUUUCAAAAAGGUAAAAACCUAAGCUUUGAGCAAAGUUGAGUAAGAAGAUUUGAAUCCUAACUGUUCCAUUUUUCAAUUACUCAAGAUGUUUUGGUAGGCACUCUGAAUGCUCAUAAGUUCAGGUGAGGCUUGGAAUAGUUUGUAUGCAGGUUCAUUAUCAGGAGAAGUGGAACCAUCUUAGCCCAAAAGCAUAAGCUUUACUCGAGGACGAGCAAAGGGCUAAGUGUGGGGGAGUUUGUUGGCGUUUCUUAAAAUACACUUUUCAUACCGCCAACAUGCAUACAAACUCUAUAAAAUAUCACCAAACAUUAGAAAUAGGGUUUUUUAUGCUAACCAAAUUCCACAGUUUUGGUGAACACAUGUGUAUGCAGGACACUAGGGUUUGAGCCGCCAAAAUCAAAGAAUUGAAGGCACAUUUAAUUCAAAUAUAGAAGUGCAUCGAAAUGCAAUUGGAUUCAAACUUAGAAGGCCGAGGAGCAUCGUCUGGGCUUUGGGCCUGGGCCAACAGAUCCAGCCAGGGGGCAGCCGCCCCCUAGGGUCGGCCGACCCCGGCCUGGCCCAGCUCCCCACCGCCUUUUGCAGAGGCGGUGCAUGCGAAGCCCUAGCGCGGUUCCCGGCUGCAUUUUGCAGUUUACCCCCUCCCAAACCGACCUUCCACACCUAUAUAAGGAAGGGGAGAGGGCCUCUCAUUGAUCAUGAUUCAAUCCAUUCAAGCUUCAAGUCCACAAGAAUAAAGAGAGAUACAAGAGUAGUAGUAGAGAGGCGGAGCUUCCACUCAUAUCCUUAGACUCUAGUUAGGAAUAGAAUAGGAGAGUGAGUUAGAGUGUAGAGUAAGAGAAGUAGCAAGCACCCGGUCCGUUCCCCU
rnacentral:lncRNA from 1 species